AGGUUGCAGUGAACCGAGAUUGCACCACUGCACUGCAGCCUGGGGGACAGAGUGUGACUCUUGCCUCAAAAAAAAAAAAAAAAAAAAAAAAAAAAAAGUCAAACUGGAAAUACAAAUAUAAAAUACCAUUAAAAAAAUAUAGGAAUCUGUCUCUAUGUUAAAAUUAAGUUUACCAAAACUUUAAGGUGCUUUUAGGCAGCAAACGUCUGGAAUAAAUUCCUGCUCACUUUAUCUCUCUGCACCCUUCUUCUUUGCUCUUUUGGCUAGCAGACCUGGCUAACUCCUUAGUUACUAUUUGAGCAAUGGUGAAAAUGACUGAAUAUAAAAUAUACUAACCAGAAACCAAAAUUUAAUAAAAACUGUAUGCCAAAUAAAGACAAUAGU
rnacentral:lncRNA from 1 species